AUUGAACGCUGGCGGCAGGCCUAACACAUGCAAGUCGAACGAGUGGCGGACGGGUGAGUAAUGUCUGGGAAACUGCCUGCUGGAGGGGGAUAAAUACUGGAAACUGUAGCUAAUACCGCAUACCAUCAGAUGUGCCCAGAUGGGAGUAGCUUGUUGGUGGGGUAAAGGCUCACCAAGGCGACGAUCCCUAGCUGGUCUGAGAGGGUGACCAGCCACAAUGGAACUGAGACACGGUCCAGACUCCUACGUGAGGCAGCAGUGGGGAAUAUUUCACAAUGGGCGCAAGCCUGAUGCAGCCAUGCCGCGUGUAUGAAGAAGGCCUUCGGGUUGUAAAGUACUUUCAGCGGGGAGGCGUUACCCGCAGAAGAAGCACCGGCUAACUCCGUGCCAGCAGCCGCGGUAAUUC
rnacentral:rRNA from 1 species